rnacentral:pre_miRNA from 15 species
UCAAAUUCCAGCCCCACCAGCCCAGUGUUCAGACUACCUGUCCAGGAGAUUGCAAAGGUGUACAGUAGUCUGCACAUUGGUUAGGCUGGGCUUGGAAAAGCA